ensembl:lncRNA
CAAUCACAUUUAAUGACCACAUAAAUGCUCGCUCAAUUUUAAUGAGAAUAUCCCACUUUCAAUAUUUAUAAAUUUUGAAACUGAAGUCCUUUGUCUUCCUGUGCAGGAGAGGCUGUGGAACUGAUAAUCUAAAUUGGGUGCCGUGACUAUUCACGAAAUAUUGGAGAGAAACCUUCACAAUCGGGAUGCAACAUCGUUGUGCUCGUCUUUCUAGAACUGUUUGGGUAGCUAGCUCUUCGCUCAGUGUGUCUGCCUCCACCGCCGACAGAGAAGUCCUCUGUAGGCUUCAUCACUUGGCGCACCGGGGACACACUGCCCUUGCAGGGUGCUGCAGAGAGAGCGUUGCAUGGGUGGAGAGGUGGAGAGGCCAGUUCGUCAAGUAGGUGACUCCCUGCGCUGUGUCAUGGGGUGGUCAUGACCUGGGAAGACUCCAGUGGUGAGGACACUGUACCCUGUGGCUUUGGAGCCUGCAUUUGUAUCAUUGGGCCGUCUUUGGGAAAGCAUGUUAGAAGUUAAAGAUGGUACUAUAUGAGAGGUAAGGAAGCCUUCCUCGUGUCUCACUUACAUUUCCAACUUCCUUCACACUCAGUUCAAGUUUGACUCCAGAAAACCCUCUCUGAACUGCAGGCCUGAGUUAGGGACUCUGUUUGAAGCCUUCAGCAUCACAUUCCUCCCAGCACCUGUGACACUGCCUAGAAAUGAUCUGCUCUGCUGAUCUCUGUGGUCUGCCUCUGUCUCAUUACCUGCUCGUCUGGCAUGUGGGACAGGGCCUGACGCUGGAGAUAUGUGUUAUGUGAUUGUGGGGUCUGACAUGGGCUCAGGGCUUGAUACGCAGGGGAGCCUCCCCUGCAGGAGCACCACGAGGCCAUCGGAGUUGUAGACUACAUGCAUCAGAGUGUGAGGACUUCUCUCUGGAUCUUUGGGACACAAGGCAAAAGGGAAGAGCAGGUGCUGGUUGGCGACAUGGCGCCACCCUGUUGCAAUAGGCUUGGUGUGCAGCAUAGCACCAGCGGGGAUGUUGGACAGUUGGCAGCAGAAAGGCUCCUGCAUGGGGCAAGGUGGAUGCAAACUGGUGAAAGGGGCCCAAGCAAAGCCCUGUUUUUCUGCAAUCUGAGAGCUGCUGCUCAAGGGCCUUCAACUCUGCCACCACCCGGGAAGGCAUUCUGCUUUAUUCAGUCCACGAAUCACAUGCUAACCUCAUCUAGAAGCAGCCUCAGACAAACCUCAGAAGGUCUGAUCACAUAUCUGCGAAUCUCACGGCCGGGCCAAAGUGACACAUGAAGGUAGCCAUGCCAGGUGGUUGUCCUGAGGCGAUCCAGCAGCAGAAGGGCCUCCUUCUGACUUUGCGGAGUGGGUGUGUGGUCCUGUUUACUUGCCGCCUCCUGACAUGGAUGAGCUUUUAGACGGUGGCCUCACUGUGUGGGAAGCCCUGGGCAGCCACAGGUGACCCGUGAUGUUUCUUUGUCUGUGGAAAGGCACCCUAACACAGCAGAGCAGGGGCAGAGGCAGAGAGAAUGACUGAGUAAGUAAUGCACAGUCAGAGCCUUCCCCCUUUUCCGUGAUGAUGACUUCUCUGAGCUGAAGGUCAUGUAUUGGCUCCUAGUGCCCAAAUGCCAUGAGCUGGGAGGUUCCAGUGCCACACUCUGGGCCCUUCUCUGGGCCUAGCUCCUUGGGCUCAGGGCUACGGAGGAGCCAGAGUGCAAGCUGUCAUUCUUUACAGCCUCUGCAGGGUGUACAGCCAGGUAGAGAACAAAUGGUUUUCCUGGCCUGGCUCCACUGAUGCCUCGGACUCCUGAGGACUGGGAGUAUUUGUUGCAAUUUUGAUUUCCUAAGUUCGGAGGGGACUUAGAGAUGUGUCUCUCUUAAGGUCCUUAUUGUCUUUCUGCAUAUUAAGUGGCAAAAGCCAGG